rnacentral:rRNA from 1 species
UACGAAGGGGGCUAGCGUUGCUCGGAAUGACUGGGCGUAAAGGGCGCGUAGGCGGUUUGUACAGUCAGGUGUGAAAUUCCCGGGCUCAACCUGGGGGCUGCACUUGAUACGUAUGGACUGGAGUGGGGAAGAGGGUCGUGGAAUUCCCAGUGUAGAGGUGAAAUUCGUAGAUAUCGGGAGGAACACCAGUGGCGAAGGCGGCGACCUGGGCCAAUAUUGACGCUGAGGUGCGAAAGCGUGGGGAGCAAACAGG